GCAUCUAUGGCCAAGUUGGUAAGGCGCCACACUAGUAAUGUAGAGAUCAUCAGUUCGACUCUGGUUGGAAGCA
rfam:Kazachstania africana CBS 2517 chromosome 3, complete genome